UGUCCAAUGCGGGGAUCGAACCCGGGUCGUAGUGGUCGUAAACCAGACGGUUUAACCUGGUUCAACUCACAUAAAUAGGU